rnacentral:lncRNA from 1 species
GCUGUAGCAGCUGCUGAAUUGUCUCCCGCUGCUACUCUCUAUUUCUUCCGUGGUCUGUUCCCAUAGAGCAGCCAGUGUUGUCUUCCCAAAACGCCCUGGGGAUGUGAGAAUGAAUAUGACAGAGCCCCUGCCCUCCGUGAGUCCAUAGUGUGAUGGGGAAGACAGGCAUUCAACAGGGAUCAAGGAAUAGGUGUCAUUAACCCCAUUUUACAGAUUUGGAAAUGGAGACUCAGAGAGGCUAAGUAACCAGUUCAACGUUGCACAGCUGCCAAAUAGCAGAGUCAGGACUCAAAUCCAGGACUAGAGUUUAGGCCAGUGACUUUUCCAGGGGGAGAGAAAGAGGAAGAAGAAACAGAGGACAGAACGGAAAAGAAGAGAAAUAGGAGAGUGAAGUGACUCAGGUUGGAGCCUUUCAUGCUCCCGGCCACCUACAGAACAAAGUUCAAACUCAAGGACUCCUUGAUCCAGUUUCUCUUCUGUGAACUCCUUCCUGGAUCCUCUGCAUUCUGAGCUCUGCAAGGGCAGGGGAUCUGUCAGAUUCAGGCCUAGGCUCUCACACCUGGUGCGGCUCAAGCAGGUAUUGGUGAAAGUGGACUGAACUGAAUUCCUUGAACUUGCCCUCCACUUUCUUGCCUCUGGGCCUUUGCCCACAUGUUCCCUCCACCUGAGAUGCCCUUUCCCUUUGCCCGUGGACACUCUACAGUGAACUAGCCCCAGGGUCUGGCCCAGUGGCAAGGCGUGUGUCUGGAAUCUUUGCAUCCCUCAAUAUCCAAGCAUAUGGGAGGUGGCAAUAAAUCUUUUUUAAAGGAAAGGAGGGUUGAGAAGAUGGGAGAAAGGAAGUGAGAGAAAUGAGAAGGGAGAAAGGAAGAAUGAGAAGGAUUCAGCAUCUUGGUGCUGGCAAGGUCCAUAGAGAUCAGCUGAUGUUCUUUUUUUUAUUUCACCAGUGAGGAAAUGGGCCCAGAGGGAAGGGAAUUGACUGAGUGAGGCCUCCCAGCAGGUCAUUACUAGGCUAUGUGAGUUGAGGGCCAAGGUCUUAUCUGUCAAGUUCACUGCUGAAUCCCCAGUGCCCUACACAGGCCUGGCUGCUGGACCUGUACUGUCUGAGUCAGGGACAUACCCUGAACUAGAACCCAGUAGCCUGAUGCCUGGCCACACUGUCCAAGGCUCCUGAUUGCCAUGGAACAGAGUCCCAUGGAACCCUGGCCCCUGCCACUCACUACCCCUUCUUUUUGCUCCCAGGCAUACCCAAUCUUCCAAUGUUUGCAUGAGCUGUCUCUGCUCCCAGAAUGUUUUUUCUCCAUGUCUACUCAUUAUUUUCUGGUGAUGCUGUCAAUCACCUGGCUAAGCUUGUGCCUCAGGGGAAGGCUUACCUAUGGCCCAGCCUGAUCAAUUAUAGUCUCCCGUCUCCCUGGCAAGGGUAAUUGGCCCAACGAGCGUGCAUGUGAUUUAAGGACGGCCAAUCACUGCCCUUCCAGGCAUAGGAAUACUGAGAGUGGGAGAAAGCAGCUCCCCCUUCCUGGGUUUUCCAAGCUGCUGCAGCCGUGUUCCCUGCCCAGAGGAGAUAAUCAGGGAUGAGAGGGGAAGGAUGCGGCAGUCCUGGUCGGGUUGAAUCCUUGGUUCCAGCCCGAUGGAUGCCCUGGUUCCUACAGUUCUUCCUUUAAUCACUAGCUUAUAUCCUUCCCAGCCGCUUGAAACAAUCAAUUCCUUUUUUGCUUAAGUUAACUUCAGUUGCUUGCAAUGGAGAGACUUUAUCAAUACAGAGGCCAAUCAUUUUUUUCUCUCUAAAAUUACACUGGCCUCGGGGGCUGGCCCCCUGGCCGAGUGGUUAAGUUCGCGCGCUCCGCUGCAGGCUGCCCAGUGUUUCGUUGGUUCGAAUCCUGGGCGCGGUCAUGGCACUGCUCAUCAAACCACGCUGAGGCAGCAUCCCACAUGCUACAACUAGAAGCACCCACAAUGAAGAAUAUACAACUAUGUACCCGGGGGCUUUGGGGAGAAAAAGGAAAAAAAUAAAAUCUUUAAAAUUACACUGGCCUCCU